rnacentral:rRNA from 1 species
GAUGAACGCUGGCGGCGUGCCUAAUACAUGCAAGUCGAGCGAACAGAUGAGGAGCUUGCUCCUCUGACGUUAGCGGCGGACGGGUGAGUAACACGUGGAUAACCUACCUAUAAGACUGGGAUAACUUCGGGAAACCGGAGCUAAUACCGGAUAAUAUAUUGAACCGCAUGGUUCAAUAGUGAAAGACGGUUUUGCUGUCACUUAUAGAUGGAUCCGCGCCGCAUUAGCUAGUUGGUAAGGUAACGGCUUACCAAGGCAACGAUGCGUAGCCGACCUGAGAGAGGGAUCGGCCACACUGGAACUGAGACACGGUCCAGACUCCUACGGGAGGCAGCAGUAGGGAAUCUUCCGCAAUGGGCGAAAGCCUGACGGAGCAACGCCGCGUGAGUGAUGAAGGUCUUCGGAUCGUAAAACUCUGUUAUUAGGGAAGAACUAAUGUGUAAGUAACUAUGCACGUCUUGACGGUACCUAAUCAGAAAGCCACGGCUAACUACGUG